AAGUCGUAACAAGGUAACCGUAGGUGAACCUGCGGUUGGAUCAUUAAUAAAAAUUUUCUAGAACGAGGGCAUAAAAAACUCUCGUUCUUGUUAACAUUUUUGUGAACUGUUGAUUGUCUUUUGUUGGGUUCUUGAAAUUUGAAGGUCAAUGGUUUUUCUUUUUUGAGAAGCUUUUUUCCUCCUUUCUUCUUGGGCAUUAAACCAACAAAUUUUUAUAAACUUUUAUAUACCUUUUAUGUCUUUAAUUUUGAAUUUAUUAAUUUAAAAACAACUUUUAACAACGGAUCUCUAGGCUCUCA
rnacentral:misc_RNA from 1 species